UACGGGGGGAGCAAGCGUUGUUCGGAUUUACUGGGCGUAAAGGGCGCGUAGGCGGCGCCGCAAGUCGACUGUGAAAUCUCCGGGCUUAACCCGGAAAGGUCAGCCGAUACUGCGGGGCUAGAGUGCAGAAGGGGCAACUGGAAUUCUCGGUGGUAGCGGUGGAAAUGCGUAGAUAUCGAGAGGAACACCUGCGGCGAAGGCGGGUUGCUGGGCUGACACUGACGCUGAGGCGCGAAAGCGUGGGGAGCAAACAGG
rnacentral:rRNA from 1 species